rnacentral:rRNA from 1 species
UCCGUAGGUGAACCUGCGGAAGGAUUAUUAAUGAGUUAGGGUCUUUUAGGCCCGACCUCCUAACCCUAUGUUUACUGAACCUUUGUUGCUUCGGCGGGCCCGUCUCACGACCGCCGGGGGACCGUAAGACGUCCUCUGGCCCGUGUUCGCCGGUAGCCAAAUUUAACAUUCUGAUUAAAAUGUGUCAUGUCUGAGUACAAUUUUUAAUUGAAGCAAAACUUUCAACAACGGAUCUCUUGGUUCUGGCAUCGAUGAAGAACGCAGCGAAAUGCGAUAAGUAAUGCGAAUUGCAGAAUUCCAGUGAGUCAUCGAAUCUUUGAACGCACAUUGCGCCCUUUGGUAUUCCGAAGGGCAUGCCUGUUCGAGCGUCAUUAUCACCCUUCAAGCCCCCGGGCUUAGUGUUGGACGGUUUGGUUUUGGUGACAAGACCCCUUCUAAAAUUAAUGACGGCGGCCUGUUCGACCCCCCGGUACACUGAGCUUUUUAACUGAGCACGUAUCGGUCUCAGGGUAGACAGGACCCGGUCUUCUUCCUUAACCGGAAAAUUUUUCCAAAAAGG